GGAGCUUGCAAGUCUUGCGGUGAGAGACUUUGGAAGUGAUUGUGCCUCCUGUAUCAAUUAAAGCUACUACUGUCCUGCAAGCUGAGCAUUGGAAGCAAGAAAACCAGCAUCAUGGCAGCUGCUAAUAGCAUUCUACUACCUGAGGCAAUGAGGGUGAGUGGGGAUUGCAGCAGUAACUGGGAUAACUUCAGAGCUGAGUAUGAGGAUUACUUCCUGGCUACAGGGCUGAAGGAGAAGCUUGCAACAGUGCAAGCAGCCACUCUGAGGCAGGUGAGGAGCAGUGAGUGCUACCAUGCUUACAUACGUAGUUUGAACCUUACAGAGGAGCAAAAGAAUGACACUAAAAUCAUCCUUGAUGCAUUGGAAGCUUUCUUCAG